UCUCUACGGUACAAGCCCUGUAGAUAACUUCCCCAAAUAGUGUUUCACCCCAACAGUAGACACAAAUAACAAUGAAUCAAGCUUAUCAGGUGAUACAUUAAGUUUGGAAGCAAAAACAUGUGAAACAAAUGAAUGCGAUGCACUAGUGUCAAAUAAAACAUGAGCAAUAUGGUCACAGAUAGUGUACAUACCUUGUAUCACGUUCGGGUCGGCGUCGGCAUCCUGCUAGGUAAGGUUGUAAACCCUGCCCUGAAAAGGAGGUCUUCUUUGGUUCUAGUUCCUCGGGCACUCUCUCGCAUAGUGCUAGGCACUGCCACAUAUGCACCAGGUGUUGUUGAGGUGGUAGCAUUGUCGGUCCCCGUGAUCCCUGCCACAGUGCUGGUAGAUCUUUCCACGUGCUGCCCCUGGAGCCUGAGGAGGGGCCUGGAUCACUUGUCUGGGCCUCUUAUUUGGUUAGACCGGCGCAGUGGGUGCUGGUCUACGGGGUGAAGCUGAGGGUCGGUGACUCCUUACUGACUGAGGACGGAUGUUGAAACUCCUCUCCACAAUCUGUGCCUUUGCUAGAACAGCU
rnacentral:lncRNA from 1 species